AGACGGCGCGUUUAUUCCACGCAACACCGUCUUCUCUUCCAGAACCCUCUCAUCUCCGCGUGCGGCGGCGCGAUUCCUUGCUUUUUUUUUUUUCCUUCGACUUCGAGAGGCUGUGAUUGUUCUUGAGUCGGAUCCGGGUAACGGAUUCGAGUUUGCGCCGGGCUUCUUCGGCUCCAGGUACUUCCAAUCGAUAUGGGGAACACUGCAUCUGUGCAAACUGAGGCUUCAGAUUCAGCGCAGCAACCUGCCACAACAGCUUCUGCACCUGAGACGAAGCCGAAAAAGAAGAUCUGUUGCGCUUGCCCAGAUACAAAAAAGCUGAGAGACGACUGCAUCGUGCAGAAUGGUGAGGAUGCCUGUGGAAAGUUCAUCGAAGCUCACCUGCAAUGCCUGAGAGCCGAAGGGUUCAGUGUCUGACACGUUACUCCAUCAUGGCAACUCCACACCUGUUUCUGUGGUAGUCCGAUUUUGAUCAUGAACAGCAUAUGAUGAAUAAGAACUUCUGGUAGAGUGAUAGGAAGAACUCAGUUUUAUUUCUAGACUGUAAAGGGAAAAAAUUCCCCCUGAACAUUGCCAGUUUGCAAGAGGGUUUGUGCCUUUUUCCAAGGCAUUUUGUGCCACACAUAUCUGCAAUUCUUGAUGAUACUGGUUGGAGAUUGAGCACUACACCGUAUGGAACCUAGAGCUUUCAAUGACUUGUUCUAGUGAUGUAUGAAUGAAGAAGAUAUUACCCUA